rnacentral:rRNA from 1 species
UACGAAGGUCCCAAGCGUUAUCCGGAUUUAUUGGGUUUAAAGGGUGCGUAGGUGGGCAAGUAAGUCAGUGGUGAAAUCUCCGGGCUUAACCCGGAAACUGCCAUUGAUACUAUUUGUCUUGAAUACUGUGGAGGUCAGCGGAAUAUGUCAUGUAGCGGUGAAAUGCUUAGAUAUGACAUAGAACACCAAUUGCGAAGGCAGCUAGCUACACAAAUAUUGACACUGAGGCACGAAAGCGUGGGGAUCAAACAGG